AUUGAACGCUGGCGGCAUGCCUUACACAUGCAAGUCGAACGGUAACAGGUCUUCGGAUGCUGACGAGUGGCGAACGGGUGAGUAAUACAUCGGAACGUGCCUAGUAGUGGGGGAUAACUACUCGAAAGAGUGGCUAAUACCGCAUGAGAUCUACGGAUGAAAGCAAGGGAUCGCAAGACCUUGUGCUACUAGAGCGGCCGAUGGCAGAUUAGGUAGUUGGUGGGAUAAAAGCUUACCAAGCCGACGAUCUGUAGCUGGUCUGAGAGGACGAUCAGCCACACUGGGACUGAGACACGGCCCAGACUCCUACGGGAGGCAGCAGUGGGGAAUUUUGGACAAUGGGCGCAAGCCUGAUCCAGCAAUGCCGCGUGCAGGAUGAAGGCCUUCGGGUUGUAAACUGCUUUUGUACGGAACGAAAAGCCCUGGGUUAAUACCCUGGGGUCAUGACGGUACCGUAAGAAUAAGCACCGGCUAACUACGUGCCAGCCGCCGCAUAAGAC
rnacentral:rRNA from 1 species